CAAGGAUUCCCCUAGUAACGGCGAGUGAAGCGGGAAGAGCACAAAUUUUAAAUCUACCUGGUUUUYYAGGUCGAGUUGUAAUUUGAAGAAACGUUUUUUACGUUCCGGGUUGGAUUAAAUCCUUUGGGAUAAGGUAUCAUGGAGGGUGAGAAUCCCGUGUAUACCAACCACUGGAAUGUUAUUAAUACGAUUUCUAAGAGUCGAGUUGUUUGGGAAUGCAGCUCUAAAUGGGUGGUAAAUUUCACCUAAUGCUAAAUAUAAGCGAGAGACCGAUAGUGAACAAGUACCGUGAGGGAAAGAUGAAAAGAACUUUGAAAAGAGAGUUAAAUAGUACGUGAAAUUGUUGAAAGGGAAACGGUUGAAGUCAGUCAUGCCGGCGGGAAUCAACUUAGGGGAAACUCUAGGUGCACUUCUUCGCUUGGCAGGUUAGCGUCGAUUUUGGAURUCAUAAAAUGACURGGGGAAGGUAGCUCYUUCGGGAGUGUUAAGCCCUUGGUAGAUGUGAUGUUCRGGAUCGAGGAUUGCAACGGAUACCCUUUGGGCUAGCCACCUGGUCUCUAAUACGAAGUURGGUUAURGAUAGCAUGCUAAYYAUGAUCUGAUUUUCGGUUAAAAGAUUAGAGUGAGUGUAAAUUCGUUAAGGACGCUGACGUAA
rnacentral:rRNA from 1 species